CACGCUUCUGAAACUGGUGUAGGAACAACCUCAGUUCUGUGAAAGGCGGACGCAGCAGGACAGAAUCUCCGUGGACAUCUGUCUGGAGGAGCAAUUUUACUGCGACAUUUUAAAGAAACAAAUUUAAUUGAUUUCCAAGGGUGUCCAUCGCGCUUCCUUCACUGCCUUGAUCAUGUCGGGGUCACCACCUGCGGGGGUUUGUCCUGCAGACCCUGACUCAACGACGGAUGAAUAAUGUACACUGACACAGAUCUUAUGCUUGUCAGUCCUGCUGAGCAUCCAGGCCACUUACAGACUCCAAGAAGAGUCCUGUCAGCCACGGCUCUGACUUGUUGGCCCUCCCGGCAUUUAUUUAGCACACAUUUAAUGACAGAAGUCUCAGGCUGGAAACACUCUUUUUGUAGAACAUACAAAUGGACAUUUCUAAGCACAUUGAGGCCUAUAAUGAAAAAUCAAAUAUCCCACAAUGAAAACUAGAAGGAAGCUAUCUGUGAUAAUGCUUUGUGGUGUAUGGAUUCAUCUCACUGACUGAAACCUGAGUUUUGAUUCACCAGAAUCUAUGCAGGGACAUUUUUGUGCUCAUUGAGGCCUACUGUGAAAAACCAAACAUCAGGGGUGGAGCCAAAAAAGCCAAAUAGGAACAGCUCCAGUCUACAGCUCCCAGCAUGAGCCACACAGAAGAUGGAUGAUUUCUGCAUUUCCAACUGAGAAUCUAUGAAAGGAUAUUUCUGAGCCCAUUGAGGAUCUAUAGUAAAAAAAUCUAUUAUCCUGUGAUAAACACUAGAAGUAAGCUAUCUGUGAAAAUGCUUUGCCUUGUGUGGAUUCAUCUUACAGAGGUUGAAAGCAUUCUUUUUGUAGAAUCUAUGAAAAGACAUUUCUGAGCUUAUUCUGGUUUAUAGAGUAAAACCGAAUAUCCUGAAAUAAAAACUGGAAACUAGGUUGGAAACUUUUUUUGUAGAAUCUAUGAAGAAACAUUUCUGAGCUCACUGAGGCAUAUUUGGAAAAAUGGGUAUCUCACAAUACAAACUGGAAACAAGCUAUCUGUGGAAACGUUUUAUGAUGUGUGGAUUCAUGUCACAGAGUUAAUCCUUUGUUUUGAUUCAACAGUUUGAAAACACUUUUUUUGUAGAAUAUACAAAAAGACAUUUCUGAGCCCUUUGAAUCCUAUAGUAAAGAAACAAAUAUCUCACGAUAAAAACUAAAAAGAAAUUUUCUGUGAAAA
rnacentral:lncRNA from 1 species